CAGCUGUCGAGCUGCAGGAAGAAAUGCCGCUUCAGGCGCGGUUUCUUCGGAGGCGAUUUCUGGUCCUGCUGGUUCUGGUCCUGCACGUCUGGC
rnacentral:tRNA from 1 species